UACGUAGGGUGCAAGCGUUGUCCGGAAUUAUUGGGCGUAAAGAGCUCGUAGGCGGCUUGUCGCGUCGUCCGUGAAAACCUGCAGCUCAACUGCAGGCUUGCGGUCGAUACGGGCAGGCUAGAGUCCGGCAGGGGAGACUGGAAUUCCUGGUGUAGCGGUGAAAUGCGCAGAUAUCAGGAGGAACACCGGUGGCGAAGGCGGGUCUCUGGGCCGGAACUGACGCUAAGGAGCGAAAGCGUGGGGAGCGAACAGG
rnacentral:rRNA from 1 species